rnacentral:misc_RNA from 1 species
UAUGGGCUCCAUCAUCAAACCUGGUCCUGCGACACAGAUGAUCACACAGCAGGUAAUUGCUAUAAAUCGUUGAAAAGUUCCCUCGACUAUCUUUCGUCUCCGUCAUCAGACUUUAAUGGCACUUGUAACUCAUAUAGGUGCAAAGUUCUCAUCAAUAGAAACGAAUUAAGUUCAAACAGCAGGUAAUUGCUAUAAAUUGUUGAAGAGUUCCCUCGACUAUCUUUCUUCUCCAUCAUCAGAUCGACUCCAGACCUUUAUUAAAUAGUAGUGCUUUAUAGUGCUUAAUGAAAACAUGAUUAAAUUUACUAGUCACCCUUACGAUUUUUGAAAGUUUCUCUCGAUUUCUCUGGGAUCCCAUCAUCAGAUCCUGGUUUCCUUAU